UGCGUAGGCGGAAUAUUAAGUCAGUGGUGAAAUCCCAGAGCUCAACUCUGGAACUGCCAUUGAAACUGGUAUUCUUGAAUAUAGUUGAGGUAGGCGGAAUGUGUAAUGUAGCGGUGAAAUGCUUAGAUAUUACACAGAACACCGAUUGCGAAGGCAGCUUACUAAACUAUGAUUGACGCUGAUGCACGAAAGCGUGGGGAGCGAGCAGGAUUAGAUACCCUGGUAGUCC
rnacentral:rRNA from 1 species